UUAGUAGAUCAAGUAUAUGCUUUAGUUUUGGCGCAAAUUCUGCAACUGGAAAACGUAAAUACUUAGAGUAACAUUUCUCAUAUGUUAUUCUUUAGGAGAGUUUAGUGAGGUCUUUGAAGAUAUUACUUCGUUAAGGCAGAGUUUGUCUUGAAAAGUACACACACAGUAAUAACCCCUAGGAUGCGACUAACUCAGAUCUUUCCAGUGUGGCGUUUUCGACGUAUUUCGUUACAUGUGAUAGAUGAAGUAUCACAUAUAGUAAACAAAUCGAUAACUUCCAUUCACUUAGGCUUCUGUAACGAUCAAGAAUUAAAACCAUAAUAACACGAGCGAAACGACCAAUUGCUUUCUGUAGUGUAUCGUCCCAUGCAGUUUUAUUGCCCCAAUAGUAGAAGUUUUAGAAUAAGUCCUCUAAUUCUCCCGACUGUU